rnacentral:rRNA from 1 species
GCAUAGACAUGUGUCCUGAUGCAGUCGAGCGGAAACGACACUAACAAUCCUUCGGGUGCGUUAAUGGGCGUCGAGCGGCGGACGGGUGAGUAAUGCCUAGGAAAUUGCCUUGAUGUGGGGGAUAACCAUUGGAAACGAUGGCUAAUACCGCAUAAUGCCUACGGGCCAAAGAGGGGGACCUUCGGGCCUCUCGCGUCAAGAUAUGCCUAGGUGGGAUUAGCUAGUUGGUGAGGUAAUGGCUCACCAAGGCGACGAUCCCUAGCUGGUCUGAGAGGAUGAUCAGCCACACUGGAACUGAGACACGGUCCAGACUCCUACGGGAGGCAGCAGUGGGGAAUAUUGCACAAUGGGCGAAAGCCUGAUGCAGCCAUGCCGCGUGUAUGAAGAAGGCCUUCGGGUUGUAAAGUACUUUCAGUUGUGAGGAAGGGGGUAUCGUUAAUAGCGGCAUCUCUUGACGUUAGCAACAGAAGAAGCACCGGCUAACUCCGUGCCAGCAGCCGCGGUAAUACGGAGGGUGCGAGCGUUAAUCGGAAUUACUGGGCGUAAAGCGCAUGCAGGUGGUUCAUUAAGUCAGAUGUGAAAGCCCGGGGCUCAACCUCGGAACUGCAUUUGAAACUGGUGAACUAGAGUACUGUAGAGGGGGGUAGAAUUUCAGGUGUAGCGGUG